rnacentral:rRNA from 1 species
AGAGCGGCGAACGGGUGAGUAAUAACUAAGAAUCUACCCACAAGUCAGGGAUAGCCUGGAGAAAUCCAGGGUAAUACCGGAUGUGCCUGCAAAGGUAAAGACUUCGGUCGCUUGAGGAGGAGCUUAGUUCCUAUCAGCUAGUUGGUAAGAUAAAAGCUUACCAAGGCUAUGACGGGUAGCUGGUGUGAGAGCACGACCAGCCACAAUGGGACUGAGACACGGCCCAU